UUCCUACGGGGGGCAGCAGUCGGGAAUAUUGCACAAUGGGGGAAACUCUGAUGCAGUGACACCGCGUAUAGGAAGAAGGUUUUCGGAUUGUAAACUAUUUUAGACAGGGAAGAAAAAAGACAGUGCCUGUAGAAUAAGAUCCGGCUAACUACGUGCCAGCAGCCGCGGUAAUACGUAGGGAGCAAGCGUUAUCCGGAAUUAUUGGGUGUAAAGGGUGCGUAGACGGGACAGCAAGUAGGUUGUGAAAGC
rnacentral:rRNA from 1 species